rfam:Gossypium raimondii Chr06_contig_267, whole genome shotgun sequence.
AAUUCCUCAACAUUCCAACAUGGCUUUGGGAUUUUCUUGCGCUGCUUAGGUGGAAGGCGAAGAAGGCCUCCUCUUAAGGGGGACCGAGCCAUCAAUAUCCACUUUGGAAGAGCUAGAAUUUUAACCUUGUGCCAAGACCUACAAGCCAAAGGACAGUCUCAGGUUGAUAGUUUCUAACGGGCGUAGGCCUCCUAAAACGUAAUAGAGGCGUGCAAAGGCUCGUGCUAGAUGGAGAUUGGCCCUUAAGUGCAAAAGUAGAUGGGAGCUUGAUUGCAAGAACAACCCAUCGAGUAGGGACGAAAGUCAGCUUUAAUGAUUCGGUGGUGCCGAGUGGAAGGGUCGUCUUUCAACGGAUAAAAGUUAC